GGAGCGAACAAUACGCUCAGUAAAGAACAAGCGGUUGUUAAGUGCAUGCUACACAUGGAGACUGUGUAGGAUUUGAUAUUUUAAUCAAAAUUGAUAUACGGAAAACAGAAAACCGUCCGUGUGGAUAGGGAGUGGAAAUUAUGCAGAACUCGACAAAUGGUGUAUGAGCGCCGAAAAAGAAGAGGAAGAGAGUUCAGCGAACGACCUUAAAUGACUCCACAUCCGUCAGGUAAAACAAACAGAUGUCCUCUUCAUUUUCUGGCACAAUAGAAGCAAACAUAAAAGCUGUUUCUAUGUAGUUUAGAUAACGGCUACUAUAUUUCAACUUUAGAUUCUUGAAUGUGUGAAGUUUCCUCAUGAGAUGUCUAAGGUAUUCAGACAUUAAUGGUGACGUGUGUAAUUUCAAUGUCAUGGAAAUGCAAAAAUACUGACCUAAGAUUAAUUUCAUAUUAUCAGCUUGACUCAUGAAUCCUGAUGAAUAAAUCCUGUUUUACUGAUCAUCAAGUGUCGAGAUAACUAGUGUGCACAGGCUGCUUCUUGCUUUUAAAUUCUGGAUUUAUACCAGGUUAUAAUGUCCUUCCCUAUAAUUAUUUUAUAAAUUAUUGCUGCCAUGCAUUACUAGAAAAUAAUACACUAAAGGUCAAAAGUUUGGGGUCGAUAGGAUUUUUUAGUUAAAAGAAGUCUCUUCUGCUUACCAUGUCUGCAUUUAUUUGAUUAAAAAUAAAUACAGUAAUAUUGUAACAAUAUUACAAUUUAAAAAAAAAACUUUUUAACCUAAUUAAAUUAGAAAGUUUUUUAUUUAGUCAUGUUUUGCACAUUCAUUUAUUAGUGGAUAGUGAAAAAGAUGCACACAGAAGUGGUGCAACCUUUAAAUGAAUUCACUCCUUAAAACAUUUAGUUUUUUUCUUCAAGUCCAUUCCACCACGGUCACAGCAACCAGAUAUUUAUUUACUAGCAACUAGAAAAGUCGGACAGCAUAGACUUUCCGUUCUACAUGUUAACAUUCACACCACACAGCUGACUUCUGUUUUCACUGACAUCUUCGAUUGCUUUCUUUCUCUUCAAUUGCUUUCCUCUAUUUGUUUGGAGUGUCCUGUGGAUAUCCAAGACGUCAAGUGAAAACAACUUCUCAACAUUAGUGAUGGUCCUGUCUGGAUUCCCCACGGCUAUCCAAUGACUUCUGCACUAGAACACAGAGCAGCAGUACAUGGUGGGAAUGAAGAUGCAGUGUUUGUGCACAUGCUGUGUCUCACCCAGCUCGAUCGUUCACAUCUGUGGAGAUGAAAGGCGAGGCAGAGAAACGCUUUCAUAUGCCAAAGGAAGCAUUUCAUUGCACGCUGUGCAAAAACAACAAGACUACAUUUGUGUGUGUGCAUCACACUCCAUUAUUUGAGCCACCCAGACAGAAAAAGAGCCAGUCAAGAAGACAAGGUUGCAUCACCAUCCACAGGCUAAAUAUAUACAUCAUACGGUCAUUCCCAGUUACUAAAGUUUGGAUCAGUACCAUUUUGUUUGUUUUUUUUUAAUUAAUUUUCUAUUCAGCAAGGGUCCAUUAAAUUGAUCAAACAUGACAUCAAAGACAUUUAUAAUGUUACAAAAAGAUGUUCAAAUGAUGUUGUUCUUUUGAACUUUUUGUUCAUCAAAGAAUCCUGUAAAAAUUGAUAAUAAUGAGAAACGUUUCUUGAGCAGCAAAUUAGAGAAGACUGGGGUAAUGAUGCUGAAAAAUUCUGCUCUGCAUCACAGGUAUAAAUAACAUUUUACAAGAUACUCAAAUAGAAAACACUUAUUUUAUAAUCAUGUUUCAGAAUACUAGUUUUUGCUGUAUUUUUGAUCAAAUAAAUGUAGCCUCAGUGAGGAGAAUAGACUUAUUUCAGAAACAUUAAAAAGUUUUUUAUGCAAUUAUUCCAAACUUCUGAAUGGUAGGGUAUAUCUAAAUAUAUUAAAUAAAAUAUUACAAUGUUAUUUCAUUAUUGGCACAUUUUUAGUAACAUUAUUUAAUGCAUCGAGUUAUAGGUUUUCUUGUAUCAAUCUCUCAUAAUAUUUAGAAUAACAUUAUUUAUCUUACUGUAUUACUGUAUUUUCUGUCAUAUUUUGCUUUUCCAAUUUCACCCAAUGACACUAUUUUUGAUGGUUAAACCAAGUCGUAGAUGUUUUGUUGACGAGCAUGGCACUGUUCAUCUGCUGGUAGAUGUUGGAGCAGCCAUGGAUGGCCAUUCAGCACAAACACAAAGGUAUACUUCUCAAGUAAUGUAAGUGGGUCAUCAAGCAUUUUGACUGUUGUAUAAAAUAUUAUGUUCCAUCAGUCAAACUCUGCCUGCAGUGUAAUAAGAGAUGGAAACUUUGCUCAACAUCCAGUGUCUAGUGUAUGAAGAGAGACUGAGCACUAGAAACAGAAGUUAUUGAUGUAUUUAUUUUGUAACCAGAGAUCUGACUGUGGUCUUCUGUGUGCUAACGUCCUGGGGUUGCUUUGGAGGAGCAGCGUUUGCCAGAGGACACACCUAACCAUUUCUUCAGCUUGAGUCAGCAUCUGACCAAAGUGCAAAGCGUUUCUGUCAGAAGAUAACAAAAGAUCACAGUCGAUGGUCUUUAAGAGAGCUCCAAAUGCAUCAUCAUGGCAUGUUUGUGCUUCUGUUGUCUGUUGAAAUGGUGCAUCCAGGUCAAGUGAAUGCGCUCAUGCUGAUUCUUGGAAAUCACACUGAACUCGGAGUUAAUGUGUUACAAGCCAAUUAAAACAGAAUGAACAAAUAUAAGACACUGAUUAUACUAACAUCUUUUAUUUUAUUUAUUAUGACAUUGAUAUAAAGAUUUGGCAGACAGUUUAUUUAUUUAUUUAUAUACUUUUGAAGUAUUUUUUAUUUUAAAUUUUGAUGUCAAUUUUUUUUUAAAGCCAUCUGAAUAUUAGGUGGAUGUUUUGGGGUUCAGCAUGGCAAUCUUUCUUAUUUCUAUACACUUAUUUUUUAUUUAUUGUUCAUGUGAGAAUUUGUAUUUUUAAUAUUUUCUUAAUAAAGCCAUCUGAAAAUAUGUGCUUAGAUGGCACACUUUCUGUACAUUUCUAUUCUUUUUAUUUUCAAAUGUUUGUCAAUUUGUUUUUAUAUAGCUAUCUGAAAAUGUAGACAUUUUAUGGUUCUCUUUGGCAAGCUGUUUAUUUCUGUACUCAAGUUUGAUGGCAAUGUUUAUUUUUAGAAAGAUAUCUGAAACAUGGGGGAUGUUUUGUGAUUCUGCAUAACAAACAAGUUUUUAUUUCUAAAUAUUAAUGGUUUAUUUAUUUAUAUAUUAUUAUUGUUAUUUUAAUUUUGAUGUCAAUAUGAAUUUAUAAAGUUUUCUGAAAAUGUUAUGGACAUUUUGUGGUUCUGGAUGUCAAACGGUUUUAUUUCUAUACAUUUCCAAAUUUUACAUUUUGAUGUCAGUAUUUAUUUUUAUAAAGCUAUCUGUGAAUGUGGUGAACUGUGUUUUUAUUUCUGUAAAUUUCUUUUUAAAAUUUUCAUGUCAAUGUUUACUUUUAUAAAGCGAUCUGGAAACAUAUGGUGGACAUGUUGUGGAGCUGUACAACAAAAUUAAAAUCCGUUUUGACAGCUGUGUUA